ACAGCGGAUUAGUGUCUCCGUGCUGCUAUGUCUUCUGGGAUCAGCAGGACCCAGCCUCCUGCCCCGCCCUGGGACGCGGAGCGGUGACCUCCAGGCGCGGGGAGUCGUGUUCUCAGACUUGUCAGCAUUUCAGCACCCAGUUAUGACAUGUCACGUGGGCUACUACUGGUAAAAAUGUGAGCAUCCAGAUGAGUGCAUUUUUCACUUUUAAAGGGAGACUGCCAAUCGGAGUUAUUCAUCAACCUGGCCACAAUAAUCGGUUGAUGGAUCAGCUUGUGAUGCAAGCAAAGCCAGUUAGAGUCUUCCCUGAGACUGGCCGCAUGGAUGCUAUGAUAAAGAGGGUCACUUUUUCUUUGAUGUUCAUAAGCCACAACAA